GUAGCGGGCCUGGCCAGCGGCUCGGAGCUUGCAGGGAGGGCGGAUCUCGGGUCGGACCCGCAGCCCCUGACGCCGGGCCUUGGGGUUCCCCCCGCCCCGGCCUCCUGCCAGUCACUACCACCCCUAGCCUCUCCAACUGAGCUCGGCGCCGGGAGAGGAUUAAGUUUGAUCACUAGGAUCAUCUUACCCACAGACAGAGGAUGCAGGGCUUCAUUUUUGUUCCUAAAAACAGGGGCACCGUAGAUACGUAAAGUUUUGUACAUCAGGAAGAAGAAGAGGCUGGAGAAGCUACGCCACCAGCUCAUGCCCAUGUACAACUUCGACCCCACGGAGGAACAAGAUGAGUUGGAGCAGGAGCUGCUGGAGCAUGGGCGGGACGCCGCCUCCGUACAGGCUGCUACUUCUGUGCAGGCCAUGCAGGGCAAGACUACUCUGCCCUCCCAGGGCCCACUGCAGAGGCCCAGCCGGCUGGUGUUUACCGAUGUGGCCAAUGCCAUCCAUGCGUGAGUGGCCUGGGACAAGCCUGGACUUCUGAUAGAGACCCGCCACGGUGCCCACGGAGCUC
rnacentral:sRNA from 1 species